AAGAUGCAAGACUGAUAGCUUGACUAUGUACAGGUCGCCGAGAUAUGGCUUGACUAUGUACAUGUGGCCGAGAUAUGGCUUGACUAUGUACAGGUGGCCGAGAUAUAGCUUGACUAUGUACAGGUGGCCUAGAUAUAGCUUGACUAUGUACAGGUCGCCGAGAUAUGGCUUGACUAUGUACAGGUGGCCGAGAUAUGGCUUGACUAUGUACAGGUGGCCGAGAUAUAGCUUGACUAUGUACAGGUGGCCGAGAUAUAGCUUGACUAUGUACAGGUGGCCGAGAUAUAGCUUGACUAUGUACAUGUGGCCGAGAUAUGGCUUGACUAUGUACAGGUGGCCGAGAUAUGGCUUGACUAUGUACAUGUGGCCUUGAUAUAUAUGGUGUUUGCGUCAACCUUAAAGAAUGGUGUCUUCCUUUUAGCAUGACCUCUCAAGGUCACACACAAGACACGUCACGUUACAUGGGUAACGAUGUCUACGUGUUUGUCAUAAGCUGUGUAGAUGAAGUGCUCUGUGCCCAAGGGCACUCCGAGGCAAGGCACAGCCGCUGCUGUAGUGCUGUAGUUUGGAGGUGACUGAGAUUCCGCUGUACAUAGCGUGGUGGUGACGUGUAUAAGUGUCGAGGGAUAUACGUGACUGUACAUAUACCUAUUUUCUUCAUGUUCGUUUGAGAUUAUCUGUCAUUUGGGACAUUAAUAAAACAAGUUGAUAUUUA